CUGCUUCUGUAUAUCUGAAUAGAGAGAGCGAGGAGGUCGGCGCUACAGAGCAGCCACAGGCGCGAGCCCCAAACGCUUGCUCCUGCCACCAGUUCUUCGGAGAGACUUGGAUCAGGCGGUGUUUGCAACAGAGAGAGAAAACCCGCUCUUCUCUGCGGAGGGAAGGAAUCCCAAACUCUUCCUAAGGUGGUCUGAGCCUGAAAAGCAAACCUAUGAAUUCGUGGAUAGUUUUGGCACAGAUGCACCAUUUUCAAGUGUCCCCCACACCACAUCACGGCAGAAUUUUGGUCUUCUGACUAUACCAUCCAGCUGCUCUCUAUGGAAAAGAAGUUGGAUUCUCUCAAGGAAGAUUCUAUCACCUGCAGCGGAGCACAGCACCUGAGAGAAAGGAGUAGGCCUUGCCAGCUACUUCUCAGAACACAGGAAUGAAGACUCUCUGAUAUCCUGCUGUGUCAUCCAGCUGACUACACAGGACCAAUGGGCUACAGACAGCACAUCUACCAUGUUGGCAGCAAAAGGAGAGCAGAGGAAUGCAGUUGGAAGAGUGACAUUUCUGGACAGGGUGAAAAAUGGUGGAUGGAAUUGGAGACGCUCAUUCAGCUGAUGUGGGAAACAGAGGGUAAG